UGGGGAAUUUUGCACAAUGGGGGGAACCUUGAUGCAGCGACGCCGCGUGAGGGAUGGAGGCCUUCGGGUUGUGAACCUCUUUCGCUCGUGUGCAAGCCGCUAUUUGGGUAGUGGUGAGUGUAGCGGGUAAAGAAGCGCCGGCUAACUACGUGCCAGCAGCCGCGGUAAUACGUAGGGCGCGAGCGUUGUCCGGAGUUAUUGGGCGUAAAGGGCUUGUAGGCGGUUUGUCGCGCCUGUCGUGUAAUCCUCUGGCUUAACUGGGGGUGUGCGGUGGGUACGGGCAGGCGUGAGUGCGGUAGGGGAGAUUGGAAUUCCUGGUGAAGCGGUGGAAUGCGCAGAUAGCAGGAGGAACACCGGUGGCGAAGGCGGGUCUCUGGGCCGUUACUGACGCUGAGGAGCGAAAGCGUGGGGAGCGAACAGG
rnacentral:rRNA from 1 species